AGUCGAGCGAACAGAAGGGAGCUUGCUCCCGGAUGUUAGCGGCGGACGGGUGAGUAACACGUGGGUAACCUGCCUGUAAGACUGGGAUAACUCCGGGAAACCGGAGCUAAUACCGGAUAGUUCCUUGAACCGCAUGGUUCAAGGAUGAAAGACGGUUUCGGCUGUCACUUACAGAUGGACCCGCGGCGCAUUAGCUAGUUGGUGGGGUAAUGGCUCACCAAGGCGACGAUGCGUAGCCGACCUGAGAGGGUGAUCGGCCACACUGGGACUG
rnacentral:rRNA from 1 species